UAAUACGUAGGGUGCGAGCGUUAAUCGGAAUUACUGGGCGUAAAGGGUGCGCAGGCGGUUCUGUAAGUCAGAUGUGAAAUCCCCGGGCUUAACCUGGGAACUGCGUUUGAAACUACAGAGCUAGAGUGUGGCAGAGGGGGGUGGAAUUCCAUGUGUAGCAGUGAAAUGCGUAGAGAUAUGGAAGAACAUCGAUGGCGAAGGCAGCCCCCUGGGUCAACACUGACGCUCAUGCACGAAAGCGUGGGGAGCAAACAGGAUUAGAUACCCUGGUAGUCCACGCCCUAAACUAUGUCAACUAGUUGUCGGGCCUUAUUAGGUUUGGUAACGUAGCUAACGCGUGAAGUUGACCGCCUGGGGAGUACGGUCGCAAGAUUAAAACUUAAAUGAAUUGACGG
rnacentral:rRNA from 1 species